UACGGAGGGUGCAAGCGUUGUCCGGAAUCACUGGGCGUAAAGGGCGCGUAGGCGGCUCAUGAAGGCUGUGGUGAAAGUCCGGGGCUCAACCUCGGAUCGGCCGUGGCGACUCGUGGGCUGGAGCACUGUAGAAGCGGGUGGAAUUCCGGGUGUAGCGGUGGAAUGCGUAGAGAUCCGGAAGAACACCAGUGGCGAAGGCGGCCCGCUGGGCAGUGGCUGACGCUGAGGCGCGACAGCGUGGGGAGCAAACAGG
rnacentral:rRNA from 1 species